rnacentral:misc_RNA from 1 species
AAGUCGUAACAAGGUUACCGUAGAUGAAUCUGCGGUAGGAUCAUUAACAAUAAGAUCUCUACUUUGUUUGUGCACCGUACCACGCCCGUCUCUGGCUGGCUGCUGCUGGGCUUGGGGGGCUACUUUGGCUCUCCCUGUCCGGCGACGCGCCAGAGACGAAUUUUAAAAACGCCUUUAGAAUCUUAAAAAGUAUAUAUUCUAUAAACAUAAUAGAAAACAACUUUUAGCAACGAAUCUCUUGGCUCUC